CAUGGGAGUGGAGAAGAAAGAUGGAUUUAAACGAGUGGAGCAUCUGUGAAGUUGAGAGGACUUCCAGUACAAUGUUGAAGAGCAGUGGUGAGAGAGGAUAUCCUUGUCUUGUUCCUGAUUCUAUCGUGAAAUAUUCAAGUUUCUCAUCAGAACCAUACCAACAAUUAGUGCUUCGAUAGCAGCAAGCAACACAGAGCAGACACUGCACUGGAGAGAGCCAAGAUUCAAGCAUGGAUCCCUGACUGUAGUCAUGUGUAAUGUGCCAGCCUGCGUGGCCUUCGGUUCCCAGAGACCUUAUGAAAGG